AUGAUUACAGUUUAGAGGUGAAUAAUUUAACUCAAGACCUGAGAAUCAAUAUUGUCAAAAUUGACCUUAUAUAGCAAAAUCUGGGCCUGUUUGGUAUAGAUUUUCUCGAAUCUAUAUAU